rnacentral:rRNA from 1 species
UACAGAGGAUGCAAGCGUUAUCCGGAAUGAUUGGGCGUAAAGCGUCUGUAGGUGGCUUUUUAAGUCCGCCGUCAAAUCCCAGGGCUCAACUCUGGACAGGCGGUGGAAACUACCAAGCUGGAGUACGGUAGGGGCAGAGGGAAUUUCCGGUGGAGCGGUGAAAUGCGUAGAGAUCCGGAGGAACACCAGUGGCGAAGGCGACACGCUGGGCCGUACCUGACACUGAUGCGCGACAGCAUGGGGAGCAAACAGG